rnacentral:rRNA from 1 species
UUUGAAAAGCACUUGAAAGAGAGUUAAAAGCACGGAAACCGUUGAAAGGGAAACGCGCUCGGCUAGCAAUGCGCCAUCACGGUUCAGCCAGUUUGCGGGCGGAGUGGGCGGUCGUCGGAUCCGAACGGACCGCGGCUGUUCACGUCCGUUUGCGAAAUGCGGUGCACUCUGUGGUGGCGCGCGUCAGCGUCGGUUCGGAGCGGGCGACAAGGCCGGCAGGAAGGUAGCUCGCAGCUUGCUGCGAGUAUUAUAGCCUGUCGAGCUGGGUCCGCUGCUCGGACCGAGGAGAGAGAGGAUCGCUGCAGCGCAUGCCCGCAAGGCUAGCUGCCCUUCGUCCGGCUUGCUUCACGGGUUGAGGACUGCACGCAGUGUUCGAACCGGCGAGGUGGUCUGGCGGGGGAGCGGUAUAAAUGCGCUUAGGACGCUGGCUCCAAAUGGCCGUGCGCGACCCGUCUUGAAA